GUACUCGCUUCGUCGGUACAUAUAAUAAAAUUGGAACGAUACAGAGAUUAGCAUGGCCCCUGCACAAGGAUGACAGGCAAAAUCGUGAAGCGUUCCAUAUUUUU
rnacentral:snRNA from 1 species